CAAAAUGAGAGUUUGAUCCUGGCUCAGGACGAACGCUGGCGGCGUGCCUAAUACAUGCAAGUCGAGCGAGCAGAACCAGCAGAUUUACUUCGGUAAUGACGCUGGGGACGCGAGCGGCGGAUGGGUGAGUAACACGUGGGGAACCUGCCCCAUAGUCUGGGAUACCACUUGGAAACAGGUGCUAAUACCGGAUAAUAAAGCAGAUCGCAUGAUCAGCUUAUAAAAGGCGGCGUAAGCUGUCGCUAUGGGAUGGCCCCGCGGUGCAUUAGCUAGUUGGUAAGGUAACGGCUUACCAAGGCAAUGAUGCAUAGCCGAGUUGAGAGACUGAACGGCCACAUUGGGACUGAGACACGGCCCAAACUCCUACGGGAGGCAGCAGUAGGGAAUCUUCCACAAUGGACGCAAGUCUGAUGGAGCAACGCCGCGUGAGUGAAGAAGGUUUUCGGAUCGUAAAGCUCUGUUGUUGGUGAAGAAGGAUAGAGGUAGUAACUGGCCUUUAUUUGACGGUAAUCAACCAGAAAGUCACGGCUAACUACGUGCCAGCAGCCGCGGUAAUACGUAGGUGGCAAGCGUUGUCCGGAUUUAUUGGGCGUAAAGCGAGCGCAGGCGGAAGAAUAAGUCUGAUGUGAAAGCCCUCGGCUUAACCGAGGAAUUGCAUCGGAAACUGUUUUUCUUGAGUGCAGAAGAGGAGAGUGGAACUCCAUGUGUAGCGGUGGAAUGCGUAGAUAUAUGGAAGAACACCAGUGGCGAAGGCGGCUCUCUGGUCUGCAACUGACGCUGAGGCUCGAAAGCAUGGGUAGCGAACAGGAUUAGAUACCCUGGUAGUCCAUGCCGUAAACGAUGAGUGCUAAGUGUUGGGAGGUUUCCGCCUCUCAGUGCUGCAGCUAACGCAUUAAGCACUCCGCCUGGGGAGUACGACCGCAAGGUUGAAACUCAAAGGAAUUGACGGGGGCCCGCACAAGCGGUGGAGCAUGUGGUUUAAUUCGAAGCAACGCGAAGAACCUUACCAGGUCUUGACAUCUAGUGCCAUCCUAAGAGAUUAGGAGUUCCCUUCGGGGACGCUAAGACAGGUGGUGCAUGGCUGUCGUCAGCUCGUGUCGUGAGAUGUUGGGUUAAGUCCCGCAACGAGCGCAACCCUUAUUAUUAGUUGCCAGCAUUAAGUUGGGCACUCUAAUGAGACUGCCGGUGACAAACCGGAG
rnacentral:rRNA from 1 species